rnacentral:rRNA from 1 species
AGUGGCAGACGGGUGAGUAACGCGUGGGUGACCUACCUUCGAGUGGGGGAUAACGUCCCGAAAGGGACGCUAAUACCGCAUGACAUCCUGUCCUUGAACGGAUGGAGAUCAAAGCUGGGGAUCGCAAGACCCGGCGCUUGAUGAGGGGCCCGCGUCCGAUUAGCUAGUUGGUGAGGUAAUGGCUCACCAAGGCGACGAUCGGUAUCCGGCCUGAGAGGGCGGACGGACACACUGGGACUGAGACACGGCCCAGACUCCUACGGGAGGCAGCAGUGGGGAAUUGUUCACAAUGGGCGCAAGCCUGAUGACGCAAUGCCGCGUGGAGGAUGAAGGUCUUCGGAUUGUAAACUCCUGUUGCCAGGGACGAAUGGCUUCGACCUAAUUCGUCGAAGAAUGACGGUACCUGGUGAGGAAGCCCCGGCUAACUCUGUGCCAGCAGCCGCGGUAAUACAGAGGGGGCAAGCGUUGUUCGGAAUUACUGGGCGUAAAGGGCGCGUAGGCGGCCUCUUAAGUCGAACGUGAAAUCCCCGGGCUCAACCCGGGAACUGCGUCCGAUACUGGGAGGCUUGAAUCCGGGAGAGGGAUGUGGAAUUCCAGGUGUAGCGGUGAAAUGCGUAGAUAUCUGGAGGAACACCGGUGGCGAAGGCGGCAUCCUGGACCGGUAUUGACGCUGAGGCGCGAAAGCUAGGGGAGCAAACGGGAUUAGAUACCCCGGUAGUCCUAGCCCU